GCAUUCAAGCUGUCUUCACAAAGUGGAAAGAGAGCAGCUUAGCGAUCUCAAGGAAUCCCACUUUCUCCUUUCCUUCAAAGAGCUUCUUGAGCUUGUCAUCACAGAAGAUCUCCCUCCUAUCUACCGGGUUCUGCACAAAAAGCCUAUUUGAAGAAGCAAUCAUCUCAAUGAAGCACAAGAAAUAAUAGCUUCCACAAAGAAUCAUAUCUUCUCAAGGCUGAAGACAAGACAUGUUAGGAUUGCUUCAUUUUAAAAGUGUUGAUGCAUUAAAAAGCUCAAAUGGAGUGUUUAAUGUUCAUUGUUUCCGCUCCAAGGUGGCAUAUUGGCGGCAGAACACACAGGAGGGGAAGCAGGUAACCCAAAAACAUCAAAUGGACAAAUGCAUCAUCUAAUUCAAGUACUGGAAGUCUAAUGAGGCUUCUCUUAUCUCAGAAUUGAUAUGUCUUAGCGAGUUAGCAUUGAUUAAACAAAUACUAAAUGAGAGAGCUGUCUUCAAUGAAACAGCAAAUAUUUAAAGCUGUUACAGAUUCAACUUUGAAUUUCUUAUAAGUAUAUGAUAAAAGCAAAUACUGUAUGAGCUGAUAGGAAACAUAACUUCAGUUUCUUCAGGUCAUAAUGAGCUUAUAGCCUAAUACAUAUGCACUCUAAAGAAACAGAAAAA